rnacentral:rRNA from 1 species
GUGCCAGCAGCCCGCGGUAAUUCCAGCUCCAAUAGCGUAUCUUAAAGUUGUUGCAGUUAAAAAGCUCGUAGUUGGAUCUCGGAUCCGGGCGAAUGGUCCGCCUCGCGGCGGUUUACUGUUCGAUGGCGUCGGUUGGGCGGCCUCUUCGGGGGUUCGUUUCGGUCGGCGUCGUUCCCGGUCUCUCACCCUCUGGACGCCCGUCGGUGCUCUUGACUGCAGUGCCGGCGGCGGCCAGGACGUUUACUUUGAAAAAAUUAGAGUGUUCCAAGCAGGCGCGUUCCGCCCGAAUAAUGGUGCAUGGAAUAAUAGAAUAGGACCUCGGUUCUAUUCGUUGGUUUUCGGAACCAGAGGUAAUGAUUAAGAGGGACAGACGGGGGCAUUCGUACGCGGUGUUAGAGGUGAAAUUGUCGGAUCGCCGCAAGACGAACUACUGCGAAAGCAUUU